GACGAACGCUGGCGGCGUGCUUAACACAUGCAAGUCGAACGGAAAGGCCCUGCUUUUGUGGGGUGCUCGAGUGGCGAACGGGUGAGUAACACGUGAGUAACCUGCCCUUGACUUUGGGAUAACUUCAGGAAACUGGGGCUAAUACCGGAUAGGAGCUCCUGCUGCAUGGUGGGGGUUGGAAAGUUUCGGCGGUUGGGGAUGGACUCGCGGCUUAUCAGCUUGUUGGUGGGGUAGUGGCUUACCAAGGCUUUGACGGGUAGCCGGCCUGAGAGGGUGACCGGCCACAUUGGGACUGAGAUACGGCCCAGACUCCUACGGGAGGCAGCAGUGGGGAAUAUUGCACAAUGGGCGGAAGCCUGAUGCAGCAACGCCGCGUGCGGGAUGACGGCCUUCGGGUUGUAAACCGCUUUCGCCUGUGACGAAGCGUGAGUGACGGUAAUGGGUAAAGAAGCACCGGCUAACUACGUGCCAGCCGCCGCCGUAA
rnacentral:rRNA from 1 species